CAGGAUUUUCUCUUAUAUCUGAGACUCUACAAGACAAUCAUACUCCAAAUUCAGUGAUUGACUUUCUCAGUUUACACAGAAGGCAAGGGGUGCCUGGAUGACACAGUUGUUUAAGCAGAUGUUUGCCUUUGGCUGAGGUCAUGAUUCCAGUGUACAGGGAUCCAGCCCUGCAUGGGACUACUUGCACCCCAAGGAGCUUGCUUUUUCUUCUCCCUUUGCACGUGAUUCCCCCUGCUUGUGUGCUUCUUCUUCUCUAUGUCUCUCUCUCUCUCUCUUGCUGUCAAUAAACAAAAUAAAAUCUUUUACUAAAUCAA